CUGCAUUUACAAAAGCCAACCAGCAGCAACACAAAAGAAUCUCUCCAAGUUGUAUGGAGAUGUUAGAGAAGUUUCAGACAUUAGAAUCUCUAAUUAUCACAAUAACAAAUGUUAAUAUUAAGUCAACAAGCAGUAUCAUGCGUUCUUAAAAAACUAGAAAACAGGAAAGAAGCAAUGGCUGAACUGUUGAAGAUCAAUGGAGGGAAGAUGACUUGAGCUAGUAAGAUGAAAGCCAUGAGACCAUUACAACACGGCAGAAAGGCCCACUUUUUCAAUAGAGAUAUAAAAUGGUGUCCAUAGUUUAUUAGAGCUAUAUCUAUAUUAAUAGAUUUGAGAUCCUAAUCAAGAAAAUUUCUAAUGGAAGCAUUCGGUUGGGAGUUUUAAUUUUGCACUGAUAAUAAAGAAUAAAGUGAUGUGCAUCAACAAGGGAAGAAGUUCCAACUGAGCUACCACAAAACUCUUCCAAGCCAUGAUUUUUUGAAAUGGACACCUAUAUAAGGG
rnacentral:lncRNA from 1 species